GUUAAAACAAUGAAGAGGAUAAGUAGUAGAUGGGGUGAACAGAUACAGAGAGCCGGGGUGCUGAGAGCCGGUGCUGUUUCCAUUUAUGAACUCACCUUGGAGUGCCUGUGUGAACAGUUGAGUAAUACAGGCCGGGUUUUAUAACCAAAACCCGUUAUCAAAACAGUCGAGUGCAUGGCAUCUUUUUCGGGCCAUGAAUGAGGGUGGUACCAUGGAGAGGAGAUAAGCCUUUUCAUCCCUUGC
rnacentral:ncRNA from 1 species